UACGUAGGGCGCAAGCGUUAUCCGGAAUUAUUGGGCGUAAAGAGCUCGUAGGCGGCUUGUCGCGUCGGAUGUGAAAGCCCGGGGCUUAACCCCGGGUCUGCAUUCGAUACGGGCAGGCUAGAGUUCGGUAGGGGAGAUCGGAAUUCCUGGUGUAGCGGUGAAAUGCGCAGAUAUCAGGAGGAACACCGGUGGCGAAGGCGGAUCUCUGGGCCGAUACUGACGCUGAGGAGCGAAAGCGUGGGGAGCGAACAGG
rnacentral:rRNA from 1 species